UGCCAGUUCCUGCCCGCUGGGGAGUUUCCCUCAUUGCAUGAAAACGACAAUGAAAUCUCUGUUGCUUUUCCUUUCCCUGUUCUCUGCCCCCUCCUGCGUCCUCUCCCAGGUGCAGCUGGUCCAGUCCGGCCCGGGAGCGGUGAAGCCCGGAGCGACCCUCAGUAUCACCUGUAAAGUCUCUGGAGUCUCCGUCAGUGAUCACUAUUGGAGCUGGAACCGGCAGCCCCCCGGGAAAGGGCUGGAGUUUAUGGGGUUUAUCCGCAGCACUGCACAGGGAGGGACCACAGAGUACAACUCGGCUCUGAAACCUCGGCUCACCAUCACCAGGGACACCUCUAAAAACGAAGUUUAUCUCCAGCUCCGCUCGCUGACGGCUGCAGACACCGGCACCUAUUACUGCGCCAGAGACACGGUUGUUCUGACCCAGUCGGGUCCCGAAGUGAAGCGGGCGGGGGAAUCCACCCAGCUGGAAUGCGCCGUGACCGGGUUUGUUCCGAACGACUGGUGGAUGGAUUGGGUCAGACAGCAGCCGGGAAAGGGACUGGAGUGGCUGGUCCGCUAUCACAAAUCUUCAGUCACGAAUUACUACUCCCCCACCAUGCAGGGGCGGUUCACAGCCUCCAAGGAGGGCACCAACUUCUACCUGCAAAUGAGCAGCCUGAAAGCGGAGGACCCCGUCGUGUAUUACUGCGCGAGGGACACUGACACACAAUGA